rnacentral:rRNA from 1 species
ACAAGCGGUGGAUGAUGUGGUUUAAUUCGAUGCAACGCGAAAACCUUACCACCUUUGACAUGUACGGAAGCCUUUAGAGAUAGAGGCGUGCUCGAAAGAGAGCCGUAACACAGGUGCUGCAUGGCUGUCGUCAGCUCGUGUCGUGAGAUGUUGGGUUAAGUCCCGCAACGAGCGCAACCCUUGUCAUUAGUUGCUACAUUCAGUUGGGCACUCUAAUGAGACUGCCGGUGACAAACCGGAGGAAGGUGGGGAUGACGUCAAGUCCUCAUGGCCCUUAUGGGUAGGGCUUCACACGUAAUACAAUGGUCGGUACAGAGGGUUGCCAACCCGCGAGGGGGAGCCAAUCCCAGAAAACCGAUCGUAGUCCGGAUUGCAGUCUGCAACUCGACUGCAUGAAGUCGGAAUCGCUAGUAAUCGCGGAUCAGCAUGUCGCGGUGAAUACGUUCCCGGGCCUU